GACGAACGCUGGCGGCGUGCUUAACACAUGCAAGUCGAACGAAGUGGCGAACGGGUGAGUAACGCGUAAUCAACCUGCCAUUCAGAGGGGGACAACAGUGGGAAAAGACUGCUAAUACCGAAUACUGAAGGAGGGGAUUGCGUCUGGUUAGCUGGUUGGGGGGGUAACGGCCCACCAGGGCGAUGAUCAGUAGCCGGUCUGAGAGGAUGAACGGCCACAUUGGGACUGAGACACGGCCCAGACUCCUACGGGAGGCAGCAGUGGGGAAUCUUCCGCAAUGGACGAAAGUCUGACGGAGCAACGCCGCGUGAGUGAUGACGGCCUUCGGGUUGUAAAGCUCUGUUAAUCGGGACGCGGUACCGGAAUAGAAAGCCACGGCUAACUACGUGCCAGCAGCCGCGGUAAUUC
rnacentral:rRNA from 1 species